CUGAAGGAUAUCAAUAUGAAACUGUUCGUGUUUGUUUUGUCUGUAUUCACCGUCCUGGCAGUAGUGCUUGGACAGGAUCUGACCACUGUGGGGACUAAGCAGGAUCUGACCACUGUGGGGACUAAGCAGGAUCUGACCACUGAAGGGACUAAGCAGGAUCUGACCACUGAAGGGACUAAGCAGGGUUGGACCACUCAGGGAUUCCGCGG